UCAAUUGAAGCCAAUGAUCGGCAUAUCACUGUUAAUGAUAAUUUAAGAAGUUAAAUUCUUCUCUAUUGAG
rnacentral:tRNA from 1 species